UAGGGAAUCUUCGGCAAUGGACGGAAGUCUGACCGAGCAACGCCGCGUGAGUGAAGAAGGUUUUCGGAUCGUAAAGCUCUGUUGUAAGAGAAGAACGAGUGUGAGAGUGGAAAGUUCACACUGUGACGGUAUCUUACCAGAAAGGGACGGCUAACUACGUGCCAGCAGCCGCGGUAAUACGUAGGUCCCGAGCGUUGUCCGGAUUUAUUGGGCGUAAAGCGAGCGCAGGCGGUUAGAUAAGUCUGAAGUUAAAGGCUGUGGCUUAACCAUAGUACGCUUUGGAAACUGUUUAACUUGAGUGCAAGAGGGGAGAGUGGAAUUCCAUGUGUAGCGGUGAAAUGCGUAGAUAUAUGGAGGAACACCGGUGGCGAAAGCGGCUCUCUGGCUUGUAACUGACGCUGAGGCUCGAAAGCGUGGGGAGCAAACAGGAUUAGAUACCCUGAUAGUCCACGCCGUAAACGAUGAGUGCUAGGUGUUGGACCCUUUCCGGGGUUUAGUGCCGCAGCUAACGCAUUAAGCACUCCGCCUGGGGAGUACGACCGCAAGGUUG
rnacentral:rRNA from 1 species